rnacentral:rRNA from 1 species
CGUAGGGUGAGCGUUAAUCGGAAUUACUGGGCGUAAAGUGUGCGCAGGCGGCCGCGCAAGUCGAGUGUGAAAGCCCCGAGCUUAACUUGGGAACUGCGCUCGAAACUACGUGGCUGGAGUGUGGCAGAGGAAGGUGGAAUUCCAGGUGUAGCGGCGAAAUGCGUAGAGAUCUGGAGGAACACCGAUGGCGAAGGCAGCCUUCUGGGCCAACACUGACGCUCAUGCACGAAAGCGUGGGGAGCAAACAGGAUUAGAUACCCUGGUAGUCCACGCCCUAAACGAUGAUGACUAGUUGUUGGAGGAGUUAAAUCCUUUAGUAACGCAGCUAACGCGUGAAGUCAUCCGCCUGGGGAGUACGGUCGCAAGAUUA